AAUAAAGUGGCUGAUAAAAGUAAUGGAUUGUAAAUCCAAAAAUGAGGUGAAACCCUCCUUUAUUA
rnacentral:tRNA from 1 species